UACAGGGGGUGCAAACGUUGCUCGGAAUUAUUGGGCGUAAAGCGCGCGUAGGCGGCCACUUAAGUCGGAUGUGAAAGCCCCUGGCUCAACUGGGGAAGUGCACCCGAAACUGAGCGGCUUGAAUGCAAAAGAGGGUCGCGGAAUUCCCGGUGUAGAGGUGAAAUUCGUAGAUAUCGGGAGGAACACCGGUGGCGAAGGCGGCGACCUGGGUUGACAUUGACGCUGAGGCGCGAAAGCGUGGGGAGCAAACAGG
rnacentral:rRNA from 1 species